UUUUAUACCGAAUCCCGCGAUAGGGAUGAUAGCGGAUAUCCUUUUUGUCUUUUGACCAAACGUCGUUUUAUAGACUCAUGUGGCAAGACAAAAAGAUAGUAGCGGACAGCCCGACCCGAG
rnacentral:sRNA from 1 species